CCUACGGGUGGCAGCAGUGGGGAAUAUUGGGCAAUGGGCGCAAGCCUGACCCAGCAACGCCGCGUGAAGGAAGAAGGCUUUCGGGUUGUAAACCUCUUUUUUCAGGGACGAAGCAAGUGACGGUACCUGAGCAAUAAGCCUCGGCUAACUACGUGCCAGCAGCCGCGGUAAUACGUAGGGGGCAAGCGUUAUCCGGAUUUACUGGGUGUAAAGGGCGCGUAGGCGGGAAGGUAAGUCAGGUGUGAAAAGCCGGGGCUCAACCAUGGGCCUGCAUUGGAAACUGUAGUUCUUGAGUACCGGAGAGGUAGGCGGAAUGCGUAGUGUAGCGGUGAAAUGCGUAGAUAUUAGGAGGAACACCAGUGGCGAAGGCAGCAUGCUGGACAGCAACUGACGCUGAGGCGCGAAAGCGUGGGGAGCGAACAGGAUUAGAUACCCGGGUAGUC
rnacentral:rRNA from 1 species